rnacentral:sRNA from 2 species
CACACACUUUCGCUGAAUUCCUUUAAGGAAGCGGGGGAACCAAUUAUUUGGGGUGAAUCCUAUUUUAUAAUAGGUAGGGCCAUUCUCUUUCGGCCCGAAUCCGUCAGCUAACCUCGUAAGCGUGGGAAGAGGAGGU